rnacentral:lncRNA from 1 species
GAUUUGCACAUAGCAUUUCUUUUGGGAUUAAUUUAAAUAUUCAUUUUUACCUAAUUCUUUGAGUGUUGUUCUAAGUGUACAACAUAUACGUCUGCAGUUCCCAAAUCAGUACCUCACGCAAAAUGCUCCUAUUUACAUUAUGAGCAUCCUGCCCCAUAUCUUUGAUUAGACACUGCUUUCUUUGGUCUUGCAUUAAUGUUAUCCUGGUUUCAGUAUGAAAAUAGUGUUAAUCCUAAGCACGGAUCAUCUAUUCAGCUGCAUUAGUUCUAUGUCUUCAGUGUCUGGUGUUAGUGUGAAUCUGGAGGUGAGAACACGGACCUCUAUAGAGGUGAUGGUGAAAUGCCUUCUCUUUUUCUUGUAGAAGAGAACUAAAGGUACCUACAGCUUGAUGCAAACUUGAAACUCCUCAUUUCUUACAGCCGUUUUGGAAUAUGUGGCGGGUCAUUUCAAACGUGUGCAUAUGUAGGAGGAAGGGAA